UACGGAGGGUGCGAGCGUUGUCCGGAAUUAUUGGGCGUAAAGAGCUCGUAGGCGGCUUGUCGCGUCGGAUGUGAAAGCCCGGGGCUUAACUCCGGGUCUGCAUUCGAUACGGGCAGGCUAGAGUUCGGUAGGGGAGAUCGGAAUUCCUGGUGUAGCGGUGAAAUGACGCAGAUAUCAGGAGGAACACCGGUGGCGAAGGCGGGUCUCUGGGCCGAUGACUGACGCUGAGGAGCGAAGCGUGGGGAGCGAACAGG
rnacentral:rRNA from 1 species